UACGAAGGGGGCAAGCGUUGUUCGGAAUUACUGGGCGUAAAGCGCGUGUAGGCUGCUCGGAAAGUCGGAUGUGAAAGCCCUGGGCUCAACCUAGGAAGUGCAUUCGAAACUUCCAAGCUGGAGUGCUGGAGAGGAAGGCGGAAUUCUCGGUGUAGAGGUGAAAUUCGUAGAUAUCGAGAGGAACACCGGUGGCGAAGGCGGCCUUCUGGACAGUAACUGACGCUGAGACGCGAAAGCGUGGGGAGCAAACAGG
rnacentral:rRNA from 1 species